ACUCCUACGGGAGGCAGCAGUGGGGAAUAUUGCACAAUGGGCGCAAGCCUGAUGCAGCCAUGCCGCGUGUGUGAAGAAGGCCUUCGGGUUGUAAAGCACUUUCAGUCGUGAGGAAGGUAGUGUAGUUAAUAGCUGCAUUAUUUGUACGUUAGCGACAGAAGAAGCACCGGCUAACUCCGUGCCAGCAGCCGCGGUAAUACGGAGGGUGCGAGCGUUAAUCGGAAUUACUGGGCGUAAAGCGCAUGCAGGUGGUUUGUUAAGUCAGAUGUGAAAGCCCGGGGCUCAACCUCGGAAUAGCAUUUGAAACUGGCAGACUAGAGUACUGUAGAGGGGGUAGAAUUUCAGGUGUAGCAGUGAAAUGCGUAGAGAUCUGAAGGAAUACCGGUGGCGAACGGCGGCCCCCGUGGACAGAUACUGACACUCAGAUGCGAAAGCGUGGGAGCAAACAGGAUUAGAUACCCCUGGUAGACUGUCA
rnacentral:rRNA from 1 species